GGGUGUGGCCUGUUGUGGGGGGUGUGGCCUGUUGUGGGGGGGGGGGUGUGGCCUGUGAACGUAUGUGUGCGUGUGUCGCUUUCUGAGAUUUCUACUGGUUGUCGUUCUACCAGCAAAACAGGUUGACUAAUCUGUCUGUCUGACCUCAAAAGGUGCUACGUUUUUCUAUGUUUUUAACCUCAUUCAGCGAUACCUUCAGGUGGAUAGCCCGGCCCCCCCCCUCCCCUCCACUCAUCCAAUCCCCCUCCAGCCCCCCCCCCACACACACCCUCUCCAAAUCAUCAACAAAUCACUUUUCUGACAUGGUAAGCCAAAUGUUGCUAAUGAUUAUGGCUGAAACUGCAAGCUAGCGGCCGUCCAGUCCAAGCCAGAUCCACAUUCUCAUGUAACACAAAGUACCUCAACUCACUGCUGGUCUCAGAGUAUGUACUGGAAACACAUGGAAGUGACAUCUGUACAUUAUUAUAUGACUAGCUGACGCUCAGAGGACUGUUCAAACCAAGUGGUUCUUCGUACAGUAAAUAAGUUUACCCGGAAAUUUGUUUCAACUGUGGUAGACCUGGGAUUAUCGGAUUCCUUUUAUAAAAGGUGUGUGGUUUAGGCCUCUCCUGAACCACACCCCUCACACAUCCAGAGCACCUUUUGUUGGGUAAUAAGAGAUUAGAACACGGUGUCGUUAAUUUGUGUAUCAGUGAUAACGCUGAUAAUGGGUAAGGUUGGAGAAUGUACCAAAGUGGACUCACUUUCUUUAUUGUUAUAUCUGGAGAAAAGAGUCUUUUCGGGUGGUUGAUAACCAUUGCCAUGGCUUCAUAUCGAGUGAAAUCUCAUCAUCUGACUUGUGAUCAGAUGUUGCCACUGCUCUUUCCCACUCAUUUCAUUUCUACGUUCCCCUUCCAUCCUCUUUGCUGCUGAGUAAUAUCAUAAUAUAUAUAUAAUAUAUAUAUAUAUAAAUGAGUAUAUACUUAUCAAUAUUUUUUAAGAAGAUGUCAACUGAGAGUGUGCUCACGAAUUACUGUGAACCAGAGUCAAGGAUGUGGUCAAUACAGUAUGUAUAAAUGCUGUGUACUUCAGACCUGGGUCAUCAAUACUCUCUUAGUUUCCACCCAUGUAACUGUGCAGGGUGAGCCAAAUCAAACACGUCAAGUAUUUUACACAACCUGAGGGAGCAGAUCAGACCCUGGACUGAUUCGAUAUACUGUACAGCUGUUUUCCAGUGCUCUGCUUUGAACGUGUGUGUGAGUUUAGGUGUAGGUGCCUCUACUCUAAGGCUUUCUCUGCCCAUGAGCAGGCCCAAACGGAGUACGCGGGUGCAGAAUUCCGACGAAAACCCGCAUAUUUUCAAGUAGAACGCAUUGGUCUGAGGUCAAAAUGUAAAUAAACUUUUAAACUCAUAUUACGUCUCUUAACUUAAAACGUUAUCCAAAAAUGCUCAGAUUUGAAAAGGAAGCACUUAUCGACCAAAAUUAAAGCAAGAGACAGGGCCAGGUGAUCUUUAUGACACUUUUUUGAAAAGUGUGUCAACAUUCAAUCGACCAUAUUCGCCGUUAAACUGUUGUGGAACUUCUUCGGUCGCUCCGACAUAAGAACAGGAAGGCUAGCGGAAUUUCGCAGAUUUUCAGUCUGAAUAACCGCAGAAAAUGUGAA